GACGAACGCUGGCGGCGUGCCUAAUACAUGCAAGUAGAACGCUGAAGGAGGAGCUUGCUUCUCUGUAUGAGUUGCGAACGGGUGAGUAACGCGUAGGUAACCUGCCUGGUAGCGGGGGAUAACUAUUGGAAACGAUAGCUAAUACCGCAUAAGAGUAGAUGUUGCAUGACAUUUGCUUAAAAGGUGCAAUUGCAUCACUACCAGAUGGACCUGCGUUGUAUUAGCUAGUUGGUGGGGUAACGGCUCACCAAGGCGACGAUACAUAGCCGACCUGAGAGGGUGAUCGGCCACACUGGGACUGAGACACGGCACAGACGCCUACGGGAGGGAGCAGGAGGGAAUCUUCGGCAAUGGGCGGAAGUCUGACCGAGCAACGCCGAGUGAGUGAAGAAGGUUGUCGGAUCGUAAAGCUCUGUUGUAAGAGAAGAACGAGUGUGAGAGUGGAAAGUUCACACUGUGACGGUAUCUUACCAGAAAGGGACGGCUAACUACGUG
rnacentral:rRNA from 1 species